rnacentral:rRNA from 1 species
GCUAGUAAUCGCGGAUCAGAAUGCCGCGGUGAAUACGUUCCCGGGUCUUGUACACACCGCCCGUCACACCAUGGGAGUCGGAAAUGCCCGAAGUCUGUGACCCAACCUUAGGGAGGGAGCAGCCGAAGGCAGGUCGGAUGACUGGGGUGAAGUCGUAACAAGGUAGC